GAGGUAGGAGGAUUGCUUGAGCCUGGGAGGUUGAGGCUGCAGUGAACUAUAAUCAUACUACGGCACUCCAGCCUGAGUGACAGAGCAAGACCCUGUCUC
ensembl:miRNA